AAAGGUCCUUUGGAGGCCAGCGCUCAGAGGAUUUGUUCCCGAGAGGACUCUGCAGUGUCCAAGCGCACCACAGACAGUGGCCUUGGCCCAGAAUCUGGAGAUGCAACAGCGCCGUUAUCUGGGGCAGGGUCUGCAAAAUUUCUACCAUUAAGAGGAAGUGGAGAGGCAGGAUUCCCAUGAAAUCCUGGAGCAGCUGCUCAGUCAGGGAAUCAUCCCAGCACCCCCCAUCCUUGGAGAGACUGGGAAGGCCUACAGUGUGAUGGUGCCCCAUCCCCUGCAUGUGGGAGACACAGGGAAGCCCUUGCGAAGACCACCUGCACGUCUGGAAUCCCUGAAGACCAGGAGCGGACAGCAAAUCACCAAGGAGGAUAUUGAGACCAGGAUGAUGAGAGCAGAAGAGCGACGGAAGGCUCAGGAAGAGAUGCUGAAGCAGAAGCUCAGAGCAAAGUCUGCACGGUUCUGUGAUGCCACCAGACCCAAAGAGCAGGAGCAGCAGGAGGAGGAAAAGGAAAACAGUCUUGACAGACGAAACAUGCCUGCUUCCAGUGAACCCCGUGAUGACAGGUCCCUCACGUUGACGUCUCAGUCAACAGAGCAGCACAGACACAAGGGCAGCUACAAGGGAGAAGGGGAGGAGACAGAAAAUUUCAUUGCCUAUGUAGAGAGUGAUGGCACCUUUAAACAGGUUUGGUCUGUGCAAAAGCAUGAUGAUGAUGACAAUGAUGAUUUUUUUCAGUCCUAA
rnacentral:lncRNA from 1 species